rnacentral:lncRNA from 1 species
AGGAAUGCUAACAAUUACAGAUUUCAUAAAUAUACUACAUAGAUACUAUAAAUCACCUAUGGUACAGAUUUAUGAAUUAGAGGAACAUAAAAUUGAAACAUGGAGGGAGCUUUAUUUACAAGAAACAUUUAAGCCUUUAGUGAAUAUAUCUCCAGAUGCAAGCCUCUUCGAUGCUGUAUACUCCUUGAUCAAAAAUAAAAUCCACAGAUUGCCCGUUAUUGACCCUAUCAGUGGGAAUGCACUUUAUAUACUUACCCACAAAAGAAUCCUCAAGUUCCUCCAGCUUUUUGUACACCAGGAGGAUGGAAUCAACUAUACCCUUUAUAAAAGAUGUCUGAUAUGCCAAAGCCUGCCUUCAUGAAGCAGAACCUGGAUGAGCUUGGAAUAGGAACGUACCACAACAUUGCCUUCAUACAUCCAGACACUCCCAUCAUCAAAGCCUUGAACAUAUUUGUGGAAAGACGAAUAUCAGCUCUGCCUGUUGUGGAUGAGUCAGGAAAAGUUGUAGAUAUUUAUUCCAAAUUUGAUGUAAUUAAUCUUGCUGCUGAGAAAACAUACAAUAAC